rnacentral:tRNA from 1 species
GGGGCUAUAGCUCUGCUGGGAGAGCGCUUGCAGGGCAUGCAAGAGUUCGGCGGGUCGAUCCCGCCUAGCUCCACCA